rnacentral:lncRNA from 1 species
GGUCUGUGCAGGCAAUGUGAGGAGUCAGACCCCAGAUACUCCCCAUACACGGUGGUGCGGAUAGCAGAGGCCGAAAUGCGGGCCUAUCAUCGAUUCUUGGGGAGCUGCACCAGCCUGGAGUACAGGGCAAAUGAAGCACUUCCAAUAAACAGCACCUCCCUGCUCUCCAAAGCUGGGCAUAUUCCUGAUGUCUGCUGUGCUGCAGUCUGCAAACCAUCAUAGAAUUUCGACAGCUGCCUGGUCUUUCCCUGCCAUCAACUAAGAGAGCCACAUGGGGUCUCCUCCUGGUCCUGGUGGGCAUAAAGAGAAUAAAUGUUCAGGGCUCGAAUGUGCUCUGCCAGGGCUGAGCUCUGGGGCCACGUGGGGCCACGUGCUGAGGUUCCUGUGGAGUGCUCAUGCUCCAAAGCCAUCGGGAACUUCAUGUGAGGGUGGGAGUGUUUCAUUUCUAAUGUGUAUCAUGCCAUGAUUGGGUCAAUAUUUGUCUAGAUUUAGCAAUUAUACACUUAAUAUUUGUGCAGUCUGCUUGUAUUCAACAAAAUUCUGUUAAUAUAAAAAUAAAAGAUAAAGAGCACACAUUAUGUAAACUAA